UUAGCCCUAAACACAGAUAAUUAUAUAAACAAAAUUAUUCGCCAGAGUACUACUAGCAACAGCUUAAAACUCAAAGGACUUGGCGGUGCUUCAUAUCCCUCUAGAGGAGCCUGUUCUAUAAUCGAUAAACCCCGAUAAACCUCACCAAUUCUUGCUAAUACAGUCUAUAUACCGCCAUCUUCAGCAAACCCUAAAAAGGAGUAAAAGUAAGCGUAAUCAUAGCACAUAAAAAAGUUAGGUCAAGGUGUAACCUAUGAAGUAAAAAAAAAUGNGCUNCNUUCUCUUA
rnacentral:rRNA from 1 species